AUUGAACGCUGGCGGCAGGCCUAACACAUGCAAGUCGAACGAGUGGCGGACGGGUGAGUAAUGUCUGGGAAACUGCCUGAUGGAGGGGGAUAACUACUGGAAACGGUAGCUAAUACCGCAUACCAUCAGAUGUGCCCAGAUGGGAUUAGCUUGUUGGUGGGGUAACGGCUCACCAAGGCGACGAUCCCUAGCUGGUCUGAGAGGAUGACCAGCCACAGUGAAACGGCGAUGCGGCCCAGAGGCCUACGGGGGGCAGCAGUGGGGGAAAUUGCCGAAAGGGCGAAAGAGUGAUGCAGCGGCGCCGCGUGGGGGAUGAGGGCUUUCGGGUUGUAAACCUCUUUCGCAAUCGAGCGGGUAGGUGAAGAAGAAGCACCGGCUAACUACGUGCCAGCAGCCGCGGUAAUUC
rnacentral:rRNA from 1 species